UUUAAUGCGGCUCAGUAGUGGUAAAGUACUUGCCUAGCAAGCACAAGACCCUGGGUUCAACUCCCAGUAUUACAA
rnacentral:tRNA from 1 species